rnacentral:rRNA from 1 species
CCUACGGGAGGCAGCAGUGGGGAAUUUUGGACAAUGGGGGCAACCCUGAUCCAGCAAUGCCGCGUGUGUGAAGAAGGCCUUCGGGUUGUAAAGCACUUUUGUCCGGAAAGAAAACUUCGGGGCUAAUACCUCUGGAGGAUGACGGUACCGGAAGAAUAAGCACCGGCUAACUACGUGCCAGCAGCCGCGGUAAUACGUAGGGUGCGAGCGUUAAUCGGAAUUACUGGGCGUAAAGCGUGCGCAGGCGGUGCUGUAAGACCGAUGUGAAAUCCCCGGGCUUAACCUGGGAACUGCAUUGGUGACUGCAGCGCUGGAGUAUGGCAGAGGGGGGUGGAAUUCCACGUGUAGCAGUGAAAUGCGUAGAGAUGUGGAGGAACACCGAUGGCGAAGGCAGCCCCCUGGGCCAAUACUGACGCUCAUGCACGAAAGCGUGGGGAGCAAACAGGAUUAGAUACCCUGGUAGUCCACGCCCUAAACGAUGUCAACUGGUUGUCGGGCCUUCAUUGGCUUGGUAACGUAGCUAACGCGUGAAGUUGACCGCCUGGGGAGUACGGUCGCAAGAUUAAAACUCAAAGGAAUUGACGG